rnacentral:lncRNA from 1 species
GGCAUUCUCCUUGACUUUUUUUUUAACAAAAAUUUUGUGAAUCUUAAUCGAUUCUCAAGUGAUAGCUUUGCUUGCUUCCGUCUGUCUUAUAGCCCAAAAAAACCUGACUGUGAGUAUAUUCUCGCUCCUGUCCAUCAGCUACUAAGGAUGAACUAAAGGUAGCUUGCUUACUAAGUGCUUGUGAUUUUUUUCUAUGGUUCUUGGAUUGAAAUCUACUUUCCUCAUAUCUAAGAAAAUCGAAUGGAUUCGGUCUUAUAACCAGCCGAGAAGAAAGGAAAAUACGAUCGAAGCUUUCCGGAUAUAUUUCGACGAAAUGCAAUCGUUUGUACAGAAUAAAAAAACUAGCUCGUUUUUAGGACAUCCAUUUCAGUUGCAUACUUGAGUGAGAAAGACUAGGCCUUCUAAUUAGGCCCUCUAAUGUUGCGUGAGGAAAGGGCUUGAGCUACUAAUCCGAUAGAUAGAUGAAUCAAUGAAUUGAACCGCUGGAAAUUCUUCCUAUUCUUGUCUUGUGAUCCAGCCUUCUUUCUUUAUCUAUGCCAUGCCUACCUGAAACCAUCCCUCUACUCUAGGGGGUGUACACAGACCUGCGAGAUAGUCAUUCUUACACCGCUCCUUUAGCUACACAUGGUGUGUCAUGCAAACUGUAAUUGAGAAAUUGAGCAUUAGCAGUUUCAGUUCGAUGUACAUCAAUGAUUAGAAUGAAAGGAUAGGACGCUCCCUCUAGACAUUCUUCUGAUGCUCGAGACUUAGAGACUAGCAUCAAAUUCUGGGCAUAUUCCUGUUACUAUUAUAUACCUUACUCGUACAAAAACUAUGGCAGUUCUUUUAGCAGCUUGUGACAAGGCUAAUAGAAUAGUUGGACAAAGAGCCUAUUCUUCUUCACUUAAACAACCUAUCUGCUCUUCGAGCACCUGGUGCUCUCACUUCCUUUUUCUUCUCGGAAAAUUUUCCGCUCCUUCUAUCAAAGAGGAGCAAGGGCUAACCGGGUAUGCACUCCUUCCUUGCCGCUACUCCUUUGCUUCAGAAGAGACACGAGCGUAGGGAAAGGGAAGAAGUCGGUACUUUUCCUGUAAACGACUCAGCGCUUUGAAAGCCUGAACGUGGGUAGCAUUGGAUUAGUGAGCGGUGUGACUUUCCGCCAUGCCCGGGAUGGAGCUCUUUACUUGAAAUCCUUAUUAAGUUAAGAAUCGCAAAAGGUAUGGUAUCCCAAGUGGGAGGAAUAAGCGCAAUAACCAUCGAGUCCCCGACCCCGCUCUUUAAAGAAAAAGAAGAAAGACCAGGCGAACGGGAAAUUUUUUAGAUAGAAAAGCUAUUCCAUUUCCGCUGCUCUUGUUCACGAAUCCUUUUCUAGUGGACUUGGCUAGAAAGCCUAAAAAAAAAAGAAAGGAAGAAGUCGUAACUCGGAAUAGAAGCUCUUUUCGCGACUCCGUUGCUAGUGGACUGCUUUCAAGGGCUAGAAUAGAAAGAGGGAAGGAAUCCGAUCUUUGAAGGCUUGUAAGGGAUGUCAUUGAAUCUGGUGUCGUAAGUAAUCACAGAAACUUCAUACCGAUAUGGUUAGAUCGAAGAUUCUCUACUCCCAAGCCUCGUGAGGAUCUCGCGAAUGGGCUUGGCUUGGACGAAUGCCCGGAAACCCCUGAUCGCCCUGAGCAGAGAGCAGAGUACUCUCAGCCUCUUUUCUCAGUUUCCGAAUGGCACGACCUAUCCUUUUAAGGAUAGGCACUUUCAUGAAGAAUGCCAUGGUCUAUCACAUCACUUGGGGGUAAGGGUCCUCUUAUGAAAGAACUGGGAGGGAGAGCUUCCAGGAAAGGUUCCUGCCCGUCUAGGGGACUGGAUCAUUCCUUGGGCUUCAAAGCCAUACCACUAAUUCCGAAAAAGAUAAUUGGCCUAAGCAUUCCAGAGAGAAUUCCUAUUGAUUGAGUCGCCUACCCCCGGGUCACUGACCUCUCUUUCUCCAUGAAGUGAGGCCAAUAUAUCAGAUCCAUCAUUAAGCUCAGUACGACUAGCAUAAGUCAGACUAUGGGGUUGGUCGGUAGGGCAUGGUUGGUUCCGAGCUUGGGCUACUUUUUGAACUAAGCCGAAGCCGAAUAUGAGGGGUAGGAAUCGAAUCCGCAGACAGGUCUUGUCUAAUGACUUGGUUUACAAGAAGAAUGGAAUCAUAAGCAUGGAAUCGGACAAGCAACUGAACUGCCUUAAGAAAGGGCGCCAAACAAAGGAAGCUAGCCUAUUAGCUAUUCUAGCCAAGCCCGAAUCUCUAUCUCUUAGUUAGCCAGGAUUGAAACCUCUUAUCAAUGGAAAGCUGUCCAUUGAGAACUCUUCUUUAUAUUUAUAUAAGGAAAGAUCACUCCUAACUAGAGAAGGUAAUGACAUGAACGGUAAGAAGUAAGGAAGGGGAAAGAAUGAGAGUUAGCCGCCCCACGUAAAUAGGUAGGGCUUAGACCUCUCAGCAGCGAGAAGCACUCCAAAUGGCUCAAGAAGGCGGGAAAUAGUUAAGGAAAAAGUACCCGAUUGAAUCAGCUCUUUUGAGAAGAAUCCCAUCCCCACCAGGUAAGGAAACUUGACUAGACUGACAUUAUCGAAAGCCACUCCAAUUGGUUCGACUGCACCGACAUCAAAGCACUUAGCAGUUGCUUAUUAGAAAAGAGCAAUCUCAAAAAAGGAGCGGGAAAGAGGCCCACGUCCUGCCAGAGGGUUAUACCAUGGGGACAGCAUAAUUAUAAGGAUAUAGCACUUCUAUCUAAUAAGGAGAUAAGCAAAGAGAAAAGAAAAUAUCUUAAAUAACUUGAUGGCACUUGUUCGGCUGCUCCUGGCACGACAAAUUCUUAUUCUUAUCGAAGCACUUUUUUCUUCAACUGGCCUACCAAAGAAGGCUACUAGCCUGGCAAAAAGAAG